GGUUGUGGCUCAAUGGUAGAGUGCUUGCCUAGAAUAUGUGAGGCCCUGAGUUCAAUCCUCAGCACCA
rnacentral:tRNA from 1 species